GUGGUGGGAUAGUGAUUGUAUACUUUACGUGCAAAAAUAAGGAGGAAUCAAUUUGUGAGAAAUACAGAUUCUUUAUUCCUAGAAUUAGAAAAACAAAAAGAUUCUCUGAUUUAUUAGUCAGUUUGGGGCAGCUUUCUCUCUUAAUCAUUUCUUGUAUGAGAAGCAUUGCAUCUUAAUUAUUGCUUCCCAGACGUUACCAAAAUACUAAAAUAG
rnacentral:lncRNA from 1 species